rnacentral:rRNA from 1 species
GAUGAACGCUGGCGGCGUGCCUAAUACAUGCAAGUAGAACGCUGAAGGAGGAGCUUGCUCUUCUGGAUGAGUUGCGAACGGGUGAGUAACGCGUAGGUAACCUGCCUGUUAGCGGGGGAUAACUAUUGGAAACGAUAGCUAAUACCGCAUAACAGUAGAUGUUGCAUGACAUUUACUUAAAAGGUGCAAUUUCAUCACUACCAGAUGGACCUGCGUUGUAUUAGCUAAUUGUUGGGGGAACGGCUCACCACGGCGACGAUACAUAGCCGCCCGCAGAGGGUGAUCGGCCCACCUGGGAAUGGGACCCGGCCCAGACUCCUACGGGAGGCAGCAGUAGGGAAUCUUCGGCAAUGGACGGAAGUCUGACCGAGCAACGCCGCGUGAGUGAAGAAGGUUUUCGGAUCGUAAAGAUCUGUUGUAAGGGAAGAACGAGUGUGAGAGUGGAAAGUUCACACUGUGACGGUAUCUUACCAGAAAGGGACGGCUAACUACGUG